rnacentral:ncRNA from 1 species
AAUAAUGCGUUAAUGGAAUGAGUAAGCUAACCAAACCCCAACUAGAGAAGUGGGACUGGUGGAAACCACGGGGGCGGCGGUAGACGAAGAUGGUUCCGGAGCAGUUGGUGGGGUGAACGCUGGUGAGCCCCGCCCGGUUAGCGGUCGUUACCCCGCUUGAGUCUCCCCGCUGGGGGUACUUAUUGAGGAGUGGGGGGUGACCCCUGCUUAAAUGAGGGUGGUAUCACGUUUGACGUCCCGAAG